CUGUCUGUUUGCAUCUGUUCAGUGCAGUUCAGUGGUAGCAAGUGGCAAGUGGUAGCCUGUGGUAGCCCCAUAUUGAAUUUCCUGUAUACUUUAUAGCACUUUAUAGUCUUAUUGAGAGUUGAGUCUUAAAGUCAACACAAUACAUCAGUCAAUAUGUUGCGUCAGCCAUUGCGUUGCCUAUUGCGUCAGCCAUUCAUAAAAUCUGUUAAAACCGCACAGUUUGCGGUUAAAAAUUUUUCGCAACCGAUCCCAAAAGUACUUCAAAGAUCAUAUGGAAAAUUUCAAAUACACGUUGAGCCCUACACGAAACACCCGAAACACGACCACGCAACCAUGCGACGAAGCGAUUUCUUUCUUUUCUUUCUCAUCUUCAUGCUCAUAAUUAUGAGUAAUAAUUCAAGAAGAAGAAGAUGAGAGUAAUUUAGUAACGACUGCAUUCUCUUGGAACUGCAUUCUACUGCUCUUUGAUUAAUUAAAUUUUUUUCUAAUUAUAAAACAAUAGCGUAAUAUUUGAUAAAUCAAUCUAUU
rnacentral:lncRNA from 1 species